GGGUGAUAAGCCAGAAUCGCCUGGUAUGGGGGAAAGUCAAAGGAACGCUAAUACCGCAUACGUCCUACAGGAAAAGCGGGACCUUCAGGCCUUGCUAUCAUGAGCCUAGUCGGAUUACUUGGUGGGGUAAUGGCUCACGCACAUCCACUGGUCUGAGAGGAUGAUCACCACUGAACUGAACACGCCGACUCCUACGAGGCGCGUGGGAAUAUUGACAAUGGGACGCUGUCCGCCUGCCGCGUGUGUGAAGAAGGUCUUCGGAUUGUAAAGCACUUUAAGUUGGGAGGAAGGCAAUAGCUAAUACCUUGCUGUUUUGACGUUACCGACAGAAUAAGCCCGGCUAACUCUGUGCCAGCAGCCGCGGUAAUACAAGGGUGCAAGGUUAAUCGAAUUACUGGGCGUAAAGCGCGGCGUAGGUGGUUUGUUAAGUUGGAUGUGAAAGCCCCCGGGCUCAACCUGGGAAGCUGCAUCCAAACUGGCAAGCUAGAGUACGGUAGAGGGUGGUGGAAUUUCCUGUGUAGCGGUGAAAUGGUAGAUAUAGGAAGGAACACCAGUGGCGAAGGCGACCACCUGGACUGAUACUGACAUGAGGUGCGAAAGCGUGGGGAGCAAACAGGAUUAGAUACCCUGGUAGUCCACGCCGUAAAGAUGUCAACUAGCCGUUGGAAUCCUUGAGAUUUUAGUGGCGCAGCUAAGCAUUAAGUUGACCGCCUGGGGAGUACGGCCGCAGGUUAAAACUCAAAUGAAUUGACGGGGGCCCGCACAAGCGGUGGACAUGUGGUUUAAUUCGAACAACAGGAAGACCUUACCGGCCUUGACAUGCAGAGAACUUUCCAGAAUGGAUUGGUGCCUUCGGGAAUCUGACCAGGUGCUGCAUGGCUGUCUCAGCUCGUCGUGAGAUGUUGGGUUAAGUCCCGUAACGAGCGCAACCUUGUCCUUAGUUACCAGCACGUUAUGGUGGGCAUCUAAGGAGACUGCGGUGAAAACCGGAGAAGGUGGGGAUGAAGKAAGUCAUCAUGGCCCUUACGGCUGGGCUACACACGUGCUACAAUGGUCGGUACAGAGGUUGGCAGCCGCGAGUGGAGCUAAUCUCCCWAAACCGAUCGUAUCCGGAUGCGWUCUGCAACUCGACUGCGUGAAAUCKGAAUCGUAGUAAUCCGAAUCAUGUCGCGGUGAAUACGUUCCCGGGCCUUGUACACACCGCCCGUCACACCAUGGGAGUGGGUUGCACCAGAAGUAGUAGUCUAACCUUCGGAGGACGGUUACCACGGUGUGAUCAUGACUGGG
rnacentral:rRNA from 1 species